GCUCUUUUGGGUCUUGUAAUUGGAAUGAGUACAAUUUAAAUCUCUUAACGAGGAACAAUUGGAGGGCAAGUCUGGUGCCAGCAGCCGCGGUAAUUCCAGCUCCAAUAGCGUAUAUUAAAGUUGUUGUGGUUAAAAAGCUCGUAGUUGAACCUGGGCCUCGCGCAGACCGGUCCGCCUCACCGCGUGCACUGGUCCUGCCGGGGCUUUCACUAGGGGAUCCGCAUGUCCUUCACUGGGCGUGUGCGGAACCUGGACUUUUACUGUGAAAAAAUUAGAGUGAUCAAAGCAGGCCUAUGCUCGAAUACAUUAGCAUGGAAUAAUAGAAUAGGACGUGUGGUUCUAUUUUGUUGGUUAUGGGACCGCCGUAAUGAUUAAUAGGGACAGUCGGGGGCAUCAGUAUUCAAUAGUCAGAGGUGAAAUUCUUGGAUUUAUUGAAGACUAACUACUGCGAAAGCAUUUGCCAAGGAUGUUUUCAUUAAUCAGGAACGAAAGUUAGGGGAUCGAAGACGAUCAGAUACCGUCGUAGUCUUAACCAUAAACUAUGCCGACUAGGGAUCGGGCGAUGUUAUUUUUUGACUCGCUCGGCACCUUACGAGAAAUCAAAGUCUGUGGGUUCCUGGGGGAGUAUGGUGGCAACGCUGAAACUUAAAGAAAUUGACGGAAGGGCACCACCAGGAGUGGAGCCUGCGGCUUAAUUUGACCCAACACGGGGAAACUCACCAGGUCCAGACACAAUGAGGAUUGACAGAUUGAGAGCUCUUUCUUGAUUUUGUGGGUGGUGGUGCAUGGCCGUUCUUAGUUGGUGGAGUGAUUUGUCUGCUUAAUUGCGAUAACGAACGAGACCUUAACCUGCUAAAUAGCCCGCGUUGCUCCUGCAGCGCGCCGGCUUCUUAGAGGGACUAUCGGCUCAAGCCGAUGGAAGUUUGAGGCAAUAACAGGUCUGUGAUGCCCUUAGAUGUUCUGGGCCGCACGCGCGCGACACUGACAGGGCCAGCGAGUAUUCCCUUGCCCGAAAGGGCCGGGUAAUCUUGUUAAACCCUGUCGUGCUGGGGAUAGAGCAUUGCAAUUAUUGCUCUUCAACGAGGAAUUCCUAGUAAGCGCAAGUCAUCAGCUUGCGCUGAUUACGUCCCUGCCCUUUGUACACACCGCCCGUCGCUACUACCGAUUGAAUGGCUCAGUGAGGCUUUCGGACUGACCCAGGGAGGUCGGCAACGACCCCCCAGGGCCGGAAAGUUAUCCGAACUCGGUCAUUUAGA
rnacentral:rRNA from 1 species